AGUCAACAUGCCCAAAGGACGUGGAUAACCUCGGGAAACUGAGGAUAAACCGCGAUAGGUCAUAAGUACUGGAAUGUUUUAUGGCUCAAAUCUACAUGGCCUUUGGAUUGGACUGCGGCCGAUCAGGCUGUUGGUGAGGUAAUGGCCCACCAAACCUGUUACCGGUACGGGCUCUGAGAGGAGGAGCCCGGAGAUGGGCACUGAGACAAGGGCCCAGGCCCUAUGGGGCGCAGCAGGCGCGAAACCUCUGCAAUAGGCGAAAGCUUGACAGGGUUACUCUGAGUGAUUCCCGCUAAGGGAAUCUUUUGGCAUCUCUAAAAACGAUGCAGAAUAAGGGGUGGGCAAGUCUGGUGUCAGCCGCCGCGGUAAUACCAGCACCCCGAGUGGUCGGGACGAUUAUUGGGCCUAAAGCAUCCGUAGCCGGUCUUGCAAGUCUUCCGUUAAAUCCACCUGCUUAACAGAUGGGCUGCGGAAGAUACUACCAGACUAGGAGGCGGGAGAGGCAAGCGGUACUCAGUGGGUAGGGGUAAAAUCCUCUGAUCCAUUGAAGACCACCAGUGGCGAAGGCGGCUUGCCAGAACGCGCUCGACGGUGAGGGAUGAAAGCUGGGGGAGCAAACCGGAUUAGAUACCCGGGUAGUCCCAGCUGUAAACGAUGCAGACUCGGUGAUGGGCCGGCUUCAUGCCGGCUCAGUGCCGCAGGGAAGCCGUUAAGUCUGCCGCCUGGGGAGUACGGUCGCAAGACUGAAACUUAA
rnacentral:rRNA from 1 species